GCGCUAAUAGCUCAGUUGGGAGAGCGUCAGACUGAAGUUCUCCUCGGCACAAACUUGGGGUAAUCUGAAGGUCACCCGUUCAAUCCGGGUUUGGCGCA
rnacentral:tRNA from 1 species